ACGGUUGCGAAAAUUGUGGCAAAAUUAGCUAAAAAAUAAAAAAUUCUCUACAUAGUACGAACUGUGGCUAAAAUAGGCGGGUAAAAUUUCAUUCCCUCCCUUUAUUUUUUCAUUUGCCUCUUUUUCUAUUAUUUCCCUCUACUCACUCUCUUUUCUCUCACUUCACCCAAAACCAACCCCCAAAAUCUAAAUCGAUUUCUGCCCAAAAUUCAACUCUCUUCUUCAAAGUCGAUUUCUGUCAAAAGCCGCUUCAAAUAGUUGUGUAAUGUGAUACUUCAAUCGGAGAAGUUACUACUCAAAAGAUGCAAUCAGAUCGAGUUUGGAACUU